rnacentral:misc_RNA from 1 species
GAUGAAGAACGUAGCGAAAUGCGAUAAGUAAUGUGAAUUGCAGAAUUCAGUGAAUCAUCGAAUCUUUGAACGCACAUCGCGCCCCUUGGUAUUCCGGGGGGCAUGCCUGUUCGAGCGUCAUUUCAACCCUCAAGCUCUGCUUGGUAUUGGGCACCGUCCUUUGCGGGCGCGCCUCAAAGACCUCGGCGGUGGCGUCUUGCCUCAAGCGUAGUAGAAUACACCUCGCUUCGGAGCGUAAGGCGUCGCCCGCCGGACGAACCUUCUGAACUUUUCUCAAGGUUGACCUCGGAUCAGGUAGGGAUACCCGCUGAACUUAAGCAUAUCAAUAAGCGGAGGA